GCGGGGGUUGUAGAGCCUGGCCAAAUAACAAAAGUUUGGAUACGCAGGACUUAAGAUCCUGUCCUUCAGGGGUUCGUGGGUUCGAAUCCCACCUCCCGCA
rnacentral:tRNA from 1 species